rnacentral:rRNA from 1 species
CCUACGGGUGGCUGCAGUGGGGAAUAUUGGGCAAUGGGCGCAAGCCUUAACCAGCAAUACCGCGUGAGUGAAGAAGGUCCUAGGAGUGUAAAGCUCCUUGAUCAGGGACGAACAGAUCACGGUACCUGAAGAACAAGCCCCGGCUAACUACGGGCCAGCAGCCGCGGUAAAACGAAGGGGGCGAGCGUUGUCCGGGAUGACUGGGCGUAAAGGGUGCGUUGGCGCCAUAAUAAGUUAGAAGGGAAAUACCCAGAGCUUAACUCGGGUGCUGCUUCUAAGACUGUUGUGCUUGAGUGCGGGAGAGGUUAAUGGAAUUCCUAGUGUAGCGGUGGAAUGCGUAGAUAUUAGGAGGAACACCAGAGGCGAAGGCGAUUAACUGGACCGUAACUGACGCUGAGGCACGAAAGUGUGGGUAGCAAACAGGAUUAGAUACCCUUGUAGUC